ACGAACGCUGGCGGCGUGCUUAACACAUGCAAGUCGAACGGAAAGGCCCCUUCGGGGGUACUCGAGUGGCGAACGGGUGAGUAACACGUGAGUAACCUGCCCUUGACUUCGGGAUAACUUCAGGAAACUGGGGCUAAUACCGGAUAGGAAUCCUUGCUGCAUGGUGGGGGUUGGAAAGCUUCGGCGGUUUUGGAUGGACUCGCGGCUUAUCAGCUUGUUGGUGGGGUAGUGGCUUACCAAGGCUUUGACGGGUAGCCGGCCUGAGAGGGCGACCGGCCACAUUGGGACUGAGAUACGGCCCAGACUCCUACGGGAGGCAGCAGUGGGGAAGAUUGCACAAUGGGCGGAAGCCUGAUGCAGCAACGCCGCGUGCGGGAUGACGGCCUUCGGGUUGUAAACCGCUUUCAGCAGGGGCGAAGCUUGUGGUGACGGUACCUGCAGAAGAAGCACCGGCUAACUACGUG
rnacentral:rRNA from 1 species